rnacentral:tRNA from 1 species
UGGCUCAGUGGUUAGAGCACUGGCUGCUCUCCCAGAGGUCCUGAGUUCAAAUCCCAG